rnacentral:rRNA from 1 species
UACGUAGGGGACGAGCGUUGUCCGGAAUUACUGGGCGUAAAGGGCGAGCAGGCUGUAGAUCAAGUCAGCUGUGAAAUGUCUGGGCUUAACCCGGGCAUGCGGUUGAAACUGAUGUACUGGAGUGCUGUAGAGGCAAGUGGGAUUCCCAGUGUAGCGGUGAAAUGCGUAGAUAUUGGGAAGAACACCGGUGGCGAAGGCGACUUGCUGGGCAGCAACUGACGCUGAGGCGCGAAAGCCAGGGGAGCAAACGGGAUUAGA